GAUGAACGCUGGCGGCGUGCCUAAUACAUGCAAGUCGAGCGAACAGACGAGGAUCUUGCUCCUCUGACGUUAGCGGCGGAAGGGUGAGUAACAUGAGGAUAACCUACCUAUAAGACUGGGAUAACUUCGGGAAACCGGUGCUAAUACCGGAUAAUAUAUUCAUCCGCAUGGUUCAAUAGUGAAAGACGGUUUUGCUGUCACUUAUAGAUGGAUCCGCGUCGCAUUAGCUAGUUGGUAAGGUAACGGCUUACCAAGGCGACCAUGCGUAGCCGACCUGCGAGGGUGAUCGGCCACAGUGGAACUGAGACGCGGUCCAGACUCCUACGGGAGGCAGCGGUAGGGAAGCGUCGGAAAUGGGCGAAAGCCUGACGGAGCAACGCAGGGUGAGUGAUGAAGGUCUGCGGAUCGUAAAACGCUGUUAUUAGGGAAGACCAAAUGUGUAAGGAACUAUGCUCGUCUUGACGGUACCUAAUCAGAAAGCCACGGCUAACUACGUG
rnacentral:rRNA from 1 species